rnacentral:tmRNA from 1 species
GGGGCUGUUUGGCUUUGACAGCGGGUAGAAGAGGUUUGUAAGCAUGCAGUGCGCGGUCGGUCGGCACUUUAAUCCCGGCAGGCAAACAAGUAACUGGCAACAACAAUUACGCUCUUGCUGCGUAACCGAAGUAUAGUAGGUUAACGCUUAAUUCCGCCACCAGGUGGCGGAACAGGACAUCACCCGGAAGCUGUGGCUUCGAAGCGUUCCGAUCAGGUGGUGCAGGUAAAUCGGAGAUAGGUGGGGUGAGGCUUCGGCACCCUUCCGAAAAUUAAGAAGAUAAGGAUUGAGUAUGGUGGCUUCAGUCGCGCUCUUUCCCGACAACCCAAAUGAAGCUAAGCAUGUAGAAAGCA